GGCCUCGUAGCUCAGUUGUCAGAACGUGCGCUGUAUAAAAGUGUAGGUGGCGUCCAUGCGUAGGUUCAAAUCCCACCGAGGCUA
rnacentral:tRNA from 1 species